CAUCAGCUAGUUGGUGAGGUAACGGCUCACCAAGGCGAAGACGGGUAGGGGGUGUGAGAGCAUGUGCCCCCAUAAUGGGACUGAGACACGGUCCAUACUCCUACGGGAGGCAGCAGCGGGGAAUAUUGCGCAAUGUACGGAAGUCAGACGCAGCGACGCCGCGUGGGUGAGGAAGGCCUUCGGGUUGUAAAGCCCUUUUCAGGGGAGCGAGAAAGGACGGUACCCUUGGAAUAAGCGUCGGCUAACUACGUGCCAGCAGCCGCGGUAAGACGUAGGACGCAAGCGUUAUCCGGAUUUACUGGGCGUUAAGCGCCUGUAGGCGGUCAAGUAAGUCGGAUGUGAAAGCCCCGUGCUCAACGCGGGGAAGCCAUUCGAUACUGCGUGACUAGAGAACGGCAGAGGGAAACGGAAUUUCUUGGUGUAGCGGUAAAAUGCGCAGAGAAUCAGAAAGAACACCGAUGACGAAAGCUAGUUUCCUAAGGCCGCAUCUGACGCUGAGAGACGAAAGCUAGGGGAACAAACAGGAUUAGAGACCCUGGUAGUCCUAGCUGUAAACGAUGCGAUGCCUAGGUGUGGACCGGAAAGGUCCGUGCCGUAGUUAACGCGAUAAGCAUCCCGCCUGGGGAGUACGACCGCAAGGCUCAAACUCAAACGAAGUGACGGGGACCCGCACAAGCAGCGGAGCGUAUGGUUUAAUUCGAUGCUACACGCAGAACCUUACCUGGGCUUGACAUGUAGGUGGUAGUGAAGUGAAAGGCGGAGCGACCCUUCGGGGAGCCUACACAGGUGCUGCAUGCCCGUCGUCAGCUCGUGCCGUGAGGUGUCGGGUUAAGUCCCGUAACGAGCGCAACCCUUGUCCUAAGUUACAAGUGUCUAAGGAGACUGCCGGUGACAAACCGGAGGAAGGUGGGGAUGACGUCAAGUCAGCAUGGCCCUUAUGUCCAGGGCGACACACACGCUACAAUGGUCGGUACAA
rnacentral:rRNA from 1 species